rnacentral:snoRNA from 1 species
CAGUGUGAUGAAAAACAGGGCCAGCAGAACCAGAUUGAACAGAAAAAGAUGUUGCAAAAGGUCUUCCAGUGGUCUCUGGAA